rnacentral:snoRNA from 2 species
AACCUCUCAGGAUCGUACCUGGAGAGUUUCCAGUACUCUACCAAUCUCAACUUCAAGAGGGAGAGUCAAACAGAGGCAUUCCCAUUCCAUUCCUAGCUUGGGCAGUGGCUAAUGAGUGGAAAGCAAUCUGCUACAAGU